rnacentral:rRNA from 1 species
AGAGUUUGAUCAUGGCUCAGGACGAACGCUGGCGGUGUGCUUCACACAUGCAAGUCGAACGAGGUAGCAAUACCUAGUGGCGGACGGGUGAGUAACGCGUGGGAAUCUGCCCAAGGGUGGGGGAUAACUAGCCGAAAGGUUAGCUAAUACCGCAUAUGCCGUGAGGUAAAAGGAGUAAUCCGCCCCUGGAUGAGCCUGCGUCCGAUUAGCUAGUUGGUGGGGUAAAAGCCUACCAAGGCUACGAUCGGUAGCUGGUCUGAGAGGAUGAUCAGCCACAAUGGGACUGAGACACGGCCCAUACUCCUACGGGAGGCAGCAGUGGGGAAUUUUACGCAAUGGGGGAAACCCUGACGUAGCGACACCGCGUGAGCGAAGAAGCCCUUUGGGGUGUAAAGCUCUGUCAGCAGGAACGAAUAAAUGACGGUACCUGCAGAGGAAGCAUCGGCUAACUACGUGCCAGCAGCCGCGGUAAGACGUAGGAUGCGAGCGUUGUCCGGAUUCAUUGGGCGUAAAGAGUUCGUAGGCGGUUUGUUAAGUCUGAUGUUAAAGAUCGGGGCCCAACCCUGGGAGUGCAUUGGAUACUGGCAGACUGGAGUGCAGUAGAGGCGAGUGGAAUUCCCAGUGUAGCGGUGAAAUGCGUAGAUAUUGGG